UACGGGGGGGGCAAGCGUUGUUCGGAAUUACUGGGCGUAAAGGGCUUGUAGGUGGCCAACUAAGUCAGACGUGAAAUCCCUCAGCUUAACUGGGGAACUGCGUCUGAUACUGGAUGGCUUGAGUUUGGGAGAGGGACGCGGAAUUCCAGGUGUAGCGGUGAAAUGCGUAGAUAUCUGGAGGAACACCGGUGGCGAAGGCGGCAUCCUGGACCAACACUGACACUGAGGAGCGAAAGCCGAGGG
rnacentral:rRNA from 1 species